GCCUUUAUUUAAUCACUCGUUGAUUUAUUCAUUCGCGCAUAAGAUACAUGUCAACCUCAUAAAAACAUGUCCAAACAUGCCCCGUAAAAGAGAGAAAAAUGUUCGAUAAACGUACGGGCAAAAGUUCAACUCCAGACGCGGACAAUCCCUCACCACGUCGACAGAUACUGUCAAAGGGCAAAAGUUCAACACAAAGGGGCGGUACCACACUAAGGGGCGGAUACGGUCAAAGGUCAAUGCAAAGUGGGCAGGCCCUCGCGACGUGGGUGGUCCGGAAGUAAUUCAACCCCCCCGCAAAGGUCAAGGUCACCAUCAAUCAUACCUGUCAAUCAUUUUGACACAAUGACCCCCAUAUAUACUACUUUCGUGCAGUUCAUGACAGUUGCUCCAGUGGCAUCAUGGGAUAGAGAAGUGUCCAUCUGAUGCACACUCAAGAAUUUCGGUAGAAGUAAUUGACCAUUUGGGUAUUUCUUGCCUACUUUUUUUGCAUACUGCGGUUUCGGACAUACUAUUCAUGACUCAUACUCUUUUUCGGCUACGAUGUAGUAUAGAAGUAGGCGAGUCUUAACACUCACAGACUAGCAAUUAGUUAGGACUAAUCAGUCUUACUUUUCAUAUUUCAAUAAGACCAAUCUACCUUUUUUAUUGACCUGACUUGAAGUUAUGACCAGUCUUGAAGAAAAAAAUUAGGUGACUAACUUUUAAGACCAGUCUAAGCAGUUUAUGCAACCAGCCCCUGGCCAUCAACCUUAAGGUCAUAUCAUCAUAAUUUCGUACCGUAGUUUAACAUCAUAACACAUGUGCCUGUGUAGCGUGGACAUUGAUCUAAGCAGUGUUUGUAUAUUAAUACAAUAUAUGAUUCUCGAUCCAUCAGCUUCCUGUGUUUUGAGAGUUCCAGCUCAAGAUCAGGUUCUUCAAAGAAGAACAAAGUCAUAAAACUGGUGGACAUCACAGAUAUCCAGAAGUACAAGGUUUUGUCAGUUUUGCCUGGAUCUGGAAUGGGCAUCUCUAUUGCCACGCCGUCAACACAGAAGCCACUUGUGUUUGGUGCAAUGAUUCACAGAGAUGAGGCCUUUGAGACAAUCUUUACGCAGUACAUGAAGAUCAUGACCACAGCCAACCCUGAGACGUAACUCACUCUUUAUUCUUCAAGAGGACGUCUCAUUUUGCCAGGACCAUUUUCUUUGGUCUCGUUUACUUUGACUGUGAUCUGAGAACUGUCAGCAUUGAUCUGACAUGCAGGAGCGAGAGUAAGAGCAUACAUUCCUUUGACACUGACAUUUCUUAUUGGAGGAAUGUGGGCAGCUUUGCGUCAUGUGACUUUGACAGUUUUUGGCUUUCAAAAAGUUUACAGACUUUGUGUUACUGUAUGUACUUGUCUCUCCCAGUGAUUCAUGUUUCCACACUUUUAUCCUGGUACAUGUAAGGGGGGUGUUUUGUUAAGGAAUUUGAUUGUACAUUCUUUAACACUUCAGAAA